UAGGUAACGGUUGGGCAUGCGUCCUAUUAGAUAGUUGGGGGGGUAACGGCCCACCAAGUCGAUGAUAGGUAGGGGUUCUGAGAGGAAGGUCCCCCACACUGGUACUGAGACACGGACCAGACUCCUACGGGAGGCAGCAGUGAGGAAUAUUGGUCAAUGGGCGAGAGCCUGAACCAGCCAAGUCGCGUGAGGGAUGACUGCCCUAUGGGUUGUAAACCUCUUUUGUAUGGGGGGAAUAAGCUUUACGAGUAGAGUGAUGACAGUACCAUACGAAUAAGCAUCGGCUAACUCCGUGCCAGCAGCCGCGGUAAUACGGAGGAUGCGAGCGUUAUCCGGAUUUAUUGGGUUUAAAGGGUGCGUAGGCGGCAUUAUAAGUUAGUGGUAAAAUAUUGGGGCUUCACCUCACUACGCCAUUAAUACUGUAGAGCUAGAGAACAGACGAGGUAGGCGGAAUAAGUUAAGUAGCGGUGAAAUGCAUAGAUAUAACUUAGAACACCGAUAGCGAAGGCAGCUUACCAGACUGAGUCUGACGCUGAUGCACGAGAGCAUGGGUAGCGAACAGGAUUAGAUACCCUGGUAGUCCAUGCCGUAAACGAUGCUCACUGGCCUUAGGCGAUAUAU
rnacentral:rRNA from 1 species